AGUGCAUCAGGUGGAUGCCUUGGCGAUGAUAGGCGACGAAGGACGUGUAAGCCUGCGAAAAGCAUCGGAGAGCUGGCAAUAAAGCAAUGACCCGGUGAUGUCCGAAUGGGGAAACCCACUUAGUUUACUAAGUAUCCUUGUCUGAAUACAUAGGACAAGAGAAGCGAACCCGGAGAACUGAACCAUCUAAGUACCCGGAGGAAAAGAAAUCAACCGAGAUUCCGCAAGUAGUGGCGAGCGAACGCGGAGGAGCCUGUAUAAGAUAGCCAAACUGUUAGAAGAAGGAAUUGGAAACUUCUGCCAUAGUGGGUGAUAGCCCCGUAUUCGAAAACAGAUUGGUGGUACUAGGUAUACGACAAGUAGGGCGGGACACGAGAAAUCCUGUCUGAAGAUGGGGGGACCAUCCUCCAAGGCUAAAUACUCAUCAUCGACCGAUAGUGAACCAGUACCGUGAGGGAAAGGCGAAAAGAACCCCGGGAGGGGAGUGAAAUAGAACCUGAAACCUGAUGCAUACAUACAGUGGGAGCGGAAUAAUUCCGUGACUGCGUACCUUUUGUAUAAUGGGUCAACGACUUACAUUCAGUAGCGAGCUUAACCGGAUAGGGGAGGCGUAGGGAAACCGAGUCUUAAUAGGGCGACAUAGUUGCUGGGUGUAGACCCGAAACCGAGUGAUCUAUCCAUGGCCAGGAUGAAGGUGCCGUAACAGGUACUGGAGGUCCGAACCCACGCAUGUUGCAAAAUGCGGGGAUGAGCUGUGGAUAGGGGUGAAAGGCUAAACAAACUCGGAGAUAGCUGGUUCUCCCCGAAAACUAUUUAGGUAGUGCCUCGAGUAUGAGACUGAUGGGGGUAAAGCACUGUUAUGGCUAGGGGGUUAUUGCAACUUACCAACCCAUGGCAAACUAAGAAUACCAUCAAGUUGCUCCUCGGGAGACAGACAUCGGGUGCUAACGUCCGGUGUCAAGAGGGAAACAACCCAGACCGCCAGCUAAGGUCCCAAAUGACAGAUUAAGUGGUAAACGAAGUGGGAAGGCACAGACAGCCAGGAUGUUGGCUUAGAAGCAGCCAUCAUUUAAAGAAAGCGUAAUAGCUCACUGGUCGAGUCUUCCUGCGCGGAAGAUGUAACGGGGCUCAAAUCUGUAACCGAAGCUGCGGAUGCACUUUUAGUGCAUGGUAGGGGAGCGUUCUGUAGGCCUGAGAAGGUGUAUCGUAAGGUAUGCUGGAGGUAUCAGAAGUGCGAAUGUUGACAUGAGUAGCGAUAAAGCGGGUGAAAAGCCCGCUCGCCGAAAGCCCAAGGUUUCCUACGCAACGUUCAUCGGCGUAGGGUGAGUCGGCCCCUAAGGCGAGGCAGAGAUGCGUAGUCGAUGGGAAACGGGUUAAUAUUCCCGUACUUGAUUCAAAUGCGAUGUGGGGACGGAGAAGGUUAUGCUGGCAAUCUGUUGGAAUAGAUUGUUUAAGCCGGUAGGUAGAAGGAGUAGGCAAAUCCGCUUCUUUAAUACCGAGACGUGAUGACGAGUGUCUACGGACAUGAAGCAGCAAAUACCACGCUUCCAGGAAAAGCCACUAAGCUUCAGUUUGAAUUAAACCGUACCGCAAACCGACACAGGUGGGCAGGAUGAGAAUUCUAAGGCGCUUGAGAGAACUCGGGAGAAGGAACUCGGCAAAUUGAUACCGUAACUUCGGGAGAAGGUAUGCCCUCUAAUGUAAAGGACUUGCUCCGGAAGCAUCUGAGGGUCGCAGAGAAUCGGUGGCUGCGACUGUUUAUUAAAAACACAGCACUCUGCAAACACGAAAGUGGACGUAUAGGGUGUGAUGCCUGCCCGGUGCUGGAAGGUUAAUUGAUGGUGUAAUCGAAAGAGAAGCUCCUGAUCGAAGCCCCAGUAAACGGCGGCCGUAACUAUAACGGUCCUAAGGUAGCGAAAUUCCUUGUCGGGUAAGUUCCGACCCGCACGAAUGGCGUAACGAUGGCCACACUGUCUCCUCCCGAGACUCAGCGAAGUUGAAAUGGUUGUGAAGAUGCAAUCUCCCCGCUGCUAGACGGAAAGACCCCGUGAACCUUUACUGUAGCUUUGCAUUGGACUUUGAAGUCACUUGUGUAGGAUAGGUGGGAGGCUUAGAAGCAGAAACGCCAGUUUCUGUGGAGCCGUCCUUGAAAUACCACCCUGGUGGCUUUGAGGUUCUAACCCAGACCCGUAAUCCGGGUCGGGGACCGUGCAUGGUAGGCAGUUUGACUGGGGCGGUCUCCUCCCAAAGAGUAACGGAGGAGUUCGAAGGUUACCUAGGUCCGGUCGGAAAUCGGACUGAUAGUGCAAUGGCAAAAGGUAGCUUAACUGCGAGACCGACAAGUCGAGCAGGUGCGAAAGCAGGACAUAGUGAUCCGGUGGUUCUGAAUGGAAGGGCCAUCGCUCAACGGAUAAAAGGUACUCCGGGGAUAACAGGCUGAUUCCGCCCAAGAGUCCAUAUCGACGGCGGAGUUUGGCACCUCGAUGUCGGCUCAUCACAUCCUGGGGCUGUAGUCGGUCCCAAGGGUAUGGCUGUUCGCCAUUUAAAGUGGUACGUGAGCUGGGUUUAAAACGUCGUGAGACAGUUUGGUCCCUAUCUGCAGUGGGCGUUGGAAGUUUGACGGGGGCUGCUCCUAGUACGAGAGGACCGGAGUGGACGAACCUCUGGUGUACCGGUUGUGACGCCAGUCGCAUCGCCGGGUAGCUAAGUUCGGAAGAGAUAAGCGCUGAAAGCAUCUAAGCGCGAAACUCGCCUGAAGAUGAGACUUCCCUGAGGAUUUAAUCCUCCUAAAGAGUCGUUCGAGACCAGGACGUUGA
rnacentral:rRNA from 1 species